GCUGUGAUGGCCAAGUGGUUGGACGUUGGACUAGAAUUCCAAUAGGUUUCCCCGCAUGGGUUCAAACCCUGCUCACAGCC
rnacentral:tRNA from 1 species